AACGCUUGAACCUGGGAGGUGGAGAUUGCAGUGAGACGAGAUCACACCAUUGCACUCCAGCCUGGGCAACAAGAGCGAAACAUCGUCUUGAAAAAAAAAAAACAAAAGAGAGAGAGAGAACCAGCUGUGAGGUGUGCUGUCAGUGGCCCAUUCCUGAGGGACCAAAGCCAUGACCUGCCCAGGUUGCCCUAGCCAAUGACUGAGCUCAGCACGGUAAAAGGCCAGUCAUUUCUCCUCUCUGGGCAAUCUUUGCUGCUGAACUUUCUACUUAUUCCUCUUUCUUUCCCCUUUCUUUUCACAGGAGUCAAACCUCUAUUGUAAACUGAAGGCCUUCUCUAUUCACUCCCCUUUUUGUUUUUGUUUCUCUUUAUCUUUCACAGGUCUUGCCUCCAAUAAAUCUCUUGCACUUCCAACUCCAUCUUGGCAUCUACUUUCUGGAAACCCCAACUGACCCAUUGUGCAAAAACACCUUUUGAGAGGUUACCCACUUAUUUCUAACGCUCACCUUAAUCCCAGCAAUAAAGGAGGUGAUGUGGGAACCCUUAGAAGUAACUGAUGGAAAGCAAAUAAAGUAGGGAAGAUAAUGAGUAGCUGGCAAUUGGCUCAUAAAUAUCCCUGGCACAGCCUGAGACAGUCCUUGGCUGCCUUUUCUGGAGCUGAAUCUUCCAUUGUGAUGAGAAAGAAGUUGCCAGCAGACACAGCCACCUGCAUCCCACACAACAGCUUUAAAGGAGAAAACCCCAUGGAGAAAGAACUGAGACUGAGAGGAGUUCCAAACUAAAAAUAAACCACAGAUCUCAGCAAGGCUCUAUACCCUGGCUGUUGCCCUUGUCACUGACUUUUCCUUAUUGAAAGCUACUCAGAGACCUGAGGAAAGCUUUGUGCUAAUACCGAUAUGAUUGCUGUCAUCGCCACUACCUGGCUUCCUACGGGUAGGAAAUGAAU
rnacentral:lncRNA from 10 species